UGUUCUAUGGUGUAAUGGUAACACGUCAGAUUCUGGUCCUGAAAUUCCAGGUUCGAGCCUGGUAGAACAACAA
rnacentral:tRNA from 1 species